rnacentral:rRNA from 1 species
GAUGAACGCUGGCGGCGUGCCUAAUACAUGCAAGUCGAGCGAACGGACGAGAAGCUUGCUUCUCUGAUGUUAGCGGCGGACGGGUGAGUAACACGUGGAUAACCUACCUAUAAGACUGGGAUAACUUCGGGAAACCGGAGCUAAUACCGGAUGAUAUUUUGAACCGCAUGGUUCAAAAGUGAAAGACGGUCUUGCUGUCACUUAUAGAUGGAUCCGCGCUGCAUUAGCUAGUUGGUAAGGUAACGGCUUACCAAGGCAACGAUGCAUAGCCGACCUGAGAGGGUGAUCGGCCACACUGGAGCUGAGACACGGUCCAGACUCCUACGGGAGGCAGCAGUAGGGAAUCUUCCGCAAUGGGCGAAAGCCUGACGGAGCAACGCCACGUGAGUGAUGAAGGUCUUCGGAUCGUAAAACUCUGUUAUUAGGGAAGAACAUAUGUGUAAGUAACUGUGCACAUCUUGACGGUACCUAAUCAGAAAGCCACGGCUAACUACGUG